AUUUUUCAUACCAUAAUUGUACCAUCUCUCUAAUAGAGGUGGGCCCCGUUGUAUUGAUGGGCUCCACCUUUAUUAGAGAGGUGGUACAAUUGUGAUAUGAAAAA
rnacentral:pre_miRNA from 1 species